UGCACAUAGGACUGUUGUGAUUGCACCCAAAUAGAAAUCAUGUCAGUGUGCUAACUGGCAUUGUCAGAUGUGAUUGCACUGUAAUUUAAUGUGAUUAAUGGAGCUUAGCCUAAUGUCUAUUCAUUAUUUCCUAUAAAUGGUGACAAAUUGUGCAUCUACAAACUUUGUUUGUCUCACUGCCAGCCUGACCUUGAGCUCUGUCAUCUCUGUCUCAGCAGCUUCAGGGACAUGUAUCCCUGCUCCUCAGAUCUUGUUCCCCAUCCACCCGACACACUCUGCACUUGAAGAUCAAUGGAGCCAAGGGCACAUGUAAGGUGAUCCAGGGCUGAGGAGAGCAGAGUUGGUUUUAUUUGUUCUGUGGUACAGCUCUGUUUGAUGUUGCCCUCUCCCGUUUCGUUCAUCCGGAAAACCUGCUGUUUGCCGUGCAUCCAAACUACAGUAUUUUGGUGUACAUCCAAAUUUGGCAGAUGACAACAUGGACAGGGUGAUAUCUGUGAAAACCAUGAUCAAAACUUCACAAGGGAGUGUGACGAGGAGGAGGGCAUGGCCGGGCCGUGAGGCUGCACGGCCAGCACUGAAUCAGCUGAUCAGCGGGAGAGCGAGAUAAAGGGAAGCCGGAGACGCCAGUUCCAGAGAGAGAUGCACGCAGCCGCUGUGUUUGUUUGUUUUAAGUUAAGUUUGAUAUUAAAACUUUGUUUACAAAGCCGGGAGGGGGGAGGGCUGCGGUCAUCUACUUGGGGACGGAGGGGUCGCUGCCAGCCGCCAAUAGCCGGAAGAACCGUUGCUGUCUGUCAAAGAAGGGGAGGAGCAGUUCCGUCCACCAGGGAAGGAGCGAGCUGGUGUCCACCAGAGGGCAGAGGAGCGAUUGAGGACCGGACGACAGCAUGUCCGGAAGCCGGCGAGCAAGUUCUUCUCUCUCCUCUUUCUGUGUAAUUGUUUGUUUUAAGUUAAGUUUGGCAUUAAAACUUUAUUUACUGUUCAGCCGGUUCCCGCCUCCUCCUUGCCCAUCCUUGAACUAUUACAGGGAGAAAUUGUGAAAAAUAUUUGUGCUCAGUGAUGUCAUACAAUGGCAGUUUAU